rnacentral:lncRNA from 1 species
UUUAAAAUGAUCAUAUUUUUUAACUUUUAUAUUUUUAAUUAAAUGGUAUACAAAUAAAAAAAUCCAAUUUUUAAAAAUAAUUAAUAUAAUUAAAAAUAAAAUAAUUUAAAAUAAAUAUUUUCAAUGAUUAAAUUAUUUGUUUUUAGUUGAAUAGGGUCGUGGGUGGGUUGUCAAAUCAAAACCUUAUCUAGUCCAGAUUCCGAUGGGCCCACCCCAUUAUCCUCAACCAUUGGAUAAGAAAUAGAAAUAAGAAAUUUAUAUCUAACACGUGAAAGGAAUGACCAUGUUGGUAGUGGUCCUGCCUCUUUGAAUACCGAAUUUCCACAAGCAUAUUCUUUUUUUUUUUUUAAUAAAAUGAUGGUGAUAACCACAUUUAUAUCCCAUACUAUUAUUAUAAAUCUAAUAUGUAGUUUAUUUAUUUUGUUUUAUUCUAAGAGGCCAAAAAUAGCUUUAAAUGUUUUUUUUUUUUGAGAAACUCAAUUUAAAUUCUUUUUAAAUAAUCAAGUUUUAACGAAUUUUUAAUUACAAACAAGGGCGAAGCCAAAAUGAAUGUUCAGUGAGUUCAAAAAGAGCCAUAAUUUAUAUUUAGCGGGGUCAAAAGUGCUAAAAUUUAUGUUCAAUGGGGGAAAAAUUAUAUUUAUGAUAAAUAUUAUUAGAAAAAAUAAUAUAUUUUUUUUCAGUGGAGUCAAUUAACCUCACUUGUCCUCAUGUGGCUCCGCCCAGACUACAACAAACACCCAUGACACUAUCUAUGUACAGUCUCUACCUUAGUAUUAUUAUGGUCUUUCGCCCAAGAAAGGUGAACAAAAUAGUCAUAUUCAUACUUGAUAUAAAAGCAUAGGAGGUUGAAUGAUAGAAUUAAAUGUGAAUAGCGUAAAUUGAAACUUUGAUGAAAGUGCAAGGGUAAAAAGUGUUAGUAACCAUUCCUAAGUGAACUCACUCACAACUACUGGGUGUUACAAAGUUGUACUACAAGUGAGCUUGUAGUACAAAGUACAAACUGUAAUGGUUCAUUAACUUAUAAAACUUAACACAAUUUAUAUAUAAGAGUGGGGGAGUGAGAGAGAGGAUGAUCAGGGCGGUUUUCGACAUUUGGGUUGUCUUAAUCCAAUUUCAAUAUAGUUACUUUCGUACUAUUAAAUUUCUUUCUUGAAUUUAAAUUUUUUUUGGAGGGCCUGAUGUUUGUUCUGCUUUGGGGUUGUCCAAAUCCAAUGCUUUGCUGGGCUUACCCCAAUACCGGCACGAGGAUGACAAGAAUUAGCAUCGGAAAAAAUCCAACGUAGAAUUUUUCUUCAAACUAUUCUAGCAGCAGCAAGAGUCGUAAAUGGAAAGGUCGUUUGCCAAGGACGUACAAGGUAAUUUACAGAACAAAUCCUUCCCAAGUAAGGCGGUUGUUUUUAUUUACUCUAUUUUUCUUCCCAAGUAAGAUAAGUUACAGAACAAAUCCUUCCCAAGUAAUCAAAUUUAACCAUUAGAUUACAAUUUAUGUGGACCACACACCUUUGAAAAGAUAAAAAUAAUAUUUUUGGAGAAAAAAAUAGUCUCAGGUCAGUCAUUAGAUUAAUUCAAAUGGAUUUUAACCAUAAAUAAUGGGAGAUAAUUUAAAAUAUUUAAAAACAGUUGUGUCUUAUGUACAAGUCUUAAUUCGUUUAUCAAUCCUUUGAAUACUUGAAUAUUUAUAUAUUUUUAUAUAUUUUAAAUGACAAAUACAAAUACGAUAGAUUCAAACACAGAUGCUGACGUGUCAAACACAUCUCAUUCUGUAGAAAACAAAUUAAACUAGCUAAGUUAAUAUGUGUACAUGUCCUAUUCAUUUUUCAAUUUUGUGAAUACUUGGAUAUUUAUUAUUUUUUAUAUAGUUUAAAUGACAGAUAUAAAUAUGGCAGAUCGACAGAUACUAUGUGUCACACAUCUCAGUCUACAAGAAAACAAAUUAAAUCAGCUAAGAUGAUAUGUGUUUGACACAUCAACAUCUUUAAAUUAAACCAAUUGAAUUAAUACGUGCGUGAAUCUGUAAUUUAUAUCUAUGCACCUAAGGGUAUGUUUGGCUGGUGGAUUAGGAGGGGAUAACUUUUUUCCUCGGAUAAUUUUUUCCCCCGCGUUUGGCUGGCGGAUAUGGGCGGAUAUGGAGGCGGAUAUAUAAAUUUUUCCCCCGGAUAAUUUUUCCCCUAGCAGGUGGAUAGAGGCGAAAAUGUUUAGGUGACCUAGAACCCUAACAAAAGUUAUCCGGGAAUAAGGGGGGUGGGGAUAGAAAAAAUAUAUAUAAAGAGAAACAAGGUUAAUUUUUUUUUAUAUAUAUAGAAAAAAAUAAACAUAUUAGAUUUUUAAUAUCAAGAUAUUUUACAUUUGUUUCUCUCAAUAUCUGUACUCCUUGUAUAUCACACCUUAUCCACUCAUUCUAAAAAGUAUCAAAAAUAAAGUUAAAAGUUAUCUCCCUUCAAAACUUAUUCCCCUUCUAAAAAUUAUUCUCUCUAAAAGUUAUUCUCCUCCGAUCCUCUAGCCAAACGGACCCCUAACCUCAAUCCAUCCCCCCUAGAAGGGUAACCUGGCUAUGAAAUUUCCAAAUUUAUAUAGCCAUUGGUCCAAAUGCAUUUAUGAAGGGCCCACAACAUUAAAUUCUAUGUUUUGAGGUUAACCUCAACUUGGCUAAAGCCGCUUCCCACGUGAUCCCGUGGAUGACCAAAUUGAAUGGUUGACAAUUCAUAGGAGGAUAGUUUUCGCAAACUUUGGUUUUUUCGAAUUGCACUUUUUUAUAUUUUUAUUAAAUAAAAUUACUUAAAUAUAUUUUUAUAUUAUUAAAAAUAAAAUAAUACAAAAUAUAAAAGUAUUUGGAUAAUUUUAUCUACUAAAAAAGAAAGUGCAAAUUAAAGAAACAGAAAUAAAAAAAUCAAGGACGGCCAUGUACCUAGAGUGAGUACAUUAAUAGAUAUCAGGUUCUAAGUUGCGCUAGCUAAAUUAAUUCAAUUUUAAAUUUAUUUAUAAUUUUUUUUACCUGAUUUUAUUAUUUUUAAUGAUUAAAAUUUCAUUGUUUUUUAUCAAAAUUAUUUAUCUUUGUCUUUUAGAUAAUUUGUUGAGUAUAACUUUAAUUUUUUAUAUUUUAAAAUUAUUUUUGUUAAGAGAAAUUAAAAAAUUAAAAAAUUUAAUUUAACGAUAAAAAAAUGACUAAAACAAAAGCUAACAAAACAAAAUAACUAUGCAAGACAAAGGCCGGCGGCCGGCCCCCUAUUGAAAAAUAGGCAUGCAUAAAGACAAGGGCAGCGCUAGCUAGACACGGUGCAUACUUGGCAGAGAUUAUUGUACGAUUUUUUUUGUUUUAAAAAUUGUAUCAGAGUAUUUGAUAUAAUUUUUAUUUUUAUUUUUAUUUGUGAAUUAAGAAUAAUUUAUAAAAAUUAAAAAAUAACUGAUUUUUUGAAAGCUUUAUUAUGAAAUUUUUCAAGUUAUGUUCAAUUGUAUUAAACACCCUCAUAAAAUAUGAAGUCUAUUCAUUUAAGGUGUGUUUGGAUAAAAAAUUUAUUAAAAAGAAAAAAGAAAAAGCUCCGGACUAAAUUAAAUUUUUGAGCGAUUGGAUUUACAAUGUUUCUUCUUUAAUUUUUUUUUUCCUUCAUUAAAUUGUUAAUAUUGAUAAAAAGAAUUUUUUUUAAAUUUAGGAUAUUACUAAUUUGACUGCUGUGUAAUUCACACUUCGUCUUGGUAAUUAGUUACUCCCACCCCUGACAACCCCACCCCUUAACGUGACUAAUAAAUUUUUUUAAUUUUUUACUUUUACCAUAAUUCCCCUACCAACUUCCACUUUACCAUUAACCAUUUAAUUCUUUUUUUUUUAAUACCACUGUUAUUUAUUAAAAAGAUAUUCAAAAAUUUUUAAUUUCUUUUAAUUUUAGCUUCCGAAAUUUUAUAAUUUCUUUUACUCCCACCUUAUAUUUUUAUAAAAAUAAAAAAUAUAGAGCAAGAUCUGUAAUAAUUUUUUAAAUUUUCUCUCAAUUUAUAAAAUUUAAUGCAAAACUAAUUAAUAUAUAUUUUUUUAAAACACUAAAGCGAAACAUUUAGAAUUUAUUCAACUAAAUAAAUUUCACUCAACUACAUAAAUUUUUUUUAAAACACUAAAGCGAAAAAAAAAAUAUCUGGAUUUUUAGCUUUAAUUUUUUUAUCUUAAAAAAUUUAUGUUAAUUAGUUUUGUAUUAAAUUUAUAAAUUGAGAGAAAUUUUUAAAAAAAAAUUACAGAUUUUGAUCCAUAUUUUUUUCUUUUAUAAAAAACUAGAUGUGGGAGUAAAAGAAAUUAUAAAAUUUUAUUAUAAAAAUUUUUUUAUAUAAAAAUUUAGAAGGUGAAAGUAAAAAAAAAUUAAAAAUUUUUGAUUAAAUUUUUUUUAAUAAAUAACAAGAAGGUAGUAUUAAAAGGAAAAAAAAUUAAUAGGUGAGAGAGAGAUGAGAGAGAUAAGAAGAAGGGUAAAAUUGAAAAAAAAAAGAAUUUUAUGGCACAUCAUCCCCCCCUGUCAGGGGGAUUGGGGAAAACAGUUCUCUUCAUCUUGGCACCACCAGGCCUGAAUUGGGACCAAAGUUACCAAAACACCCUCAUGAUCAUCCUUAGCCCUCAAAGUCCUAGAACAAUGAAAAGAUAUAUUUCAUACAUACAAUAAUACACUUGUGAUAGCAAUAUCCAUGACUCAUCGCAAGCACAUAUCUAGACAAAAAUUCAAGAAGAAAAAUGUUACUUUACUUAAAAUAUAUAUCAUAAUAUGGUACUAAAAGAUUCACAAUUAAUCAUGUUAUUCGGUAUUCAUCGGUUUUCAAGUCCUCUAACAGGUUAGUUAUCCCCAACCUGAGGCAGGUCUUGAUCUUUGUGGGGCCUUCCUUGUGCCUAUGUGGCGCGUGGACGAAGCUUCCCAUGAACCUAGAGUCCUCGGUCGGAUCGUCCUUGUCGUUGAUGAGCACAUCGAAUUGAAAUUCUACCUUGGAACCUUUUUGAAAAGAUGAGUUCCGACAAGGUUGAAUAUUGAAUUCCAACUAAUCACUAAUAAUUCUAUGUACUAACAAAAAAAGAUGAUAAUAAUAAUAAUAAUAAUAAUAUAAUUAUUUUAAAAAAUUCCCCAUAAAAAGAAAACGAACUUAUGAAAUUUUAGGUCCAAUUUUACCUCAGUGGUGGUUGAUGUUUUUUCUGCUGCCAUGGCCAAUUGCCUCCUCCUUCCUGGGCACUUUCAAACUGAUGGAGGAUCUGAACUGGAUUGCUGGACAGCACCAUUAAAGUCAAUGCAACAUCAAGGGAAAAAGAUUAGGUCAAAUUAAUAAAAUACUUAAUGGUGGGAACUGGCUCAAACUAUUACUUUAUAUAUUACUUUGGAGAAAACUCAUUUCAGUGGCAUAUUGAGAAAAAUAUAUCAAAUUAGAUGUAUAAUGCAAAAUUAUCUCCAAUAAAUGGAGACGCAGACAUCUAAAAUAAUAUUAUAAAUAUGAGAUUAUUCGUUAAAUGGCGCCAAUGAAGUGAGUGGAAUGAUUGUCUGAUGCAAAUAAAAAAGUGAAUAGUUGAAUAUUUUUUUAGGUAAAACACUUGCAUCUCACACUUAUUUUAUUUGUACGAGAUAGAUAAUUUAUUUACACUCAGUCUUAUAUUUUUUUAGAAAUUCGUUUAGUUGACGUUUCUUAAAACUUAUUUUUUUGAUAGUUUUUUUAAAUAAUUAUUUUUGAGAAAACAUUAGAUAUACGUUUUUAAAUUCUUGAAAACUAUUUUUAUUAGAAACUAAAUAACAUAUGAAAAAGGUAAAUGUUUAGAGCAUUCAUAUUAGUUUUACUAUUUAUUCAUUCUAUUUUUAAGAAUUUUUUUCAACCAUCAUAUUUGUUAAAUGGUCAUAUUAUUCCAACGGCGAUAUUUUUUAAAUGAUAUAUUUUUAAAAUGGUUAUAUUUUUAAGAAUGUCGUAUUAUUCAAACGGUUGUAUUUUUUAAAAUAUAUUUUAAAAUGAACAUUUUUUUGACUCAUAUAUUUUUAAUUAAAUGGUAUACAGAUAAAAAAACUAAUUUUAAAAAAUAAAAUAAUUUAAAAUAAAUAUUUUCAAUAAUUAAAUUAUUAAAUAUUAACUUUUAUCCAACUUGAUACCUAGCAGCCUAUCCUCUUACAGCGUCGGCAAAGACUAUGAAUUCUUGGGGACCGCAAAACUUACCCUGAUCCGACUAUAGCGCAUAUGUUCAAUAAUCAUGUUUAAUAAAUACAAAGUCUACUAGUGUAAGAAAUUAAAAUUAUAUCAUUUUUCAUAGUCAAGACAAAAGUAUUAAAAUUUUGCGCUCCAGUCUUACUGAUAGUGUAUCUAGUUUCAUCUAAGAUUUUGAACAAUAUAAGUCUAAUCUUUCGUGUGUAAGCAGUAUUCUUCUACACGUCAAAUUAUCUAUUUUUUAGAAUAAGAGACAUCCAUGCUUAAGUAUUAAAUAAAUAAUACAAAUACAAACAUUACUUACACAAAUUAUUAUUAUAAUGGAAUAAAUAAUUUAUUAAUAACACUAAAUUCAUUAAUAAUUGAAUAGUUUCUAUGAGUGAGUUGUCAAAUAAAACCUUAUCUAGUCCAGAUUGGGAUGGGCCCACUCCCUUAUCGUCAACCAUCGGAUGAGAAAAUCUAACACGUGAAAGAAAUAUACCAUACUGGUAGUGGUCCUGCCUAGGGAUGGCAACGGGCCGGUUGGGCCUCCCCCACCCCCACCCCG